ACAAUGAGGCGUACCAGAAGUCUCCCUGUUUAAUCCUUAAGCAUCCACCUGUGUUAUGCCAUGGAGAAGCUUUGUUUUUUCACAAGUUCUGGGAAAUCACUGUAAGUUGUACGUUGAUGAAGACAAACAAGUAAACAGCCCUCAACUUUACUUUCACGCCUGACUCAUCAUUCAACGCUUUCAGUGCUUACGGCAUAUGUUUAGCUAUCUGUCACUUCGUGUACCAGAACCACGCACGCAGGGGACAGAAUAGUG